UUUUUUCAAUGCCAUUUACAAAAAUGUUCAAGUUUACAUACAACAUUUUGGAAGCUUGCAUUUCAACCAAAUUUUCAAAGUCUGUUCGUGAGAUUUUUAUUUUUUGAAAAAUUAGUAAUUUACAACAUUUUGGAAGCCCAGCGACGAGAUGUAUUGUGGACCUAUCAUUUAAUUCAUGGAUAUAUAUUGAAACACAGAAACCGAAAAAGAACAUUUAUCUGUUACCUUCUUUCUAACAACAAUUGACUGAAAACGGAAGAAGACGUCGAUUUUUAAGCCAGGACUUAUUGCUGCAUUGUGGAUGAUAAUCAAACCAGUUUUUUGCCAGAAGUGACUAAAACAUUUGUGAAAGUCGAGAAAAGGCAUCAAUCAUCGAGUCUAGACUUAUUUUUACAUUGUGGAUAAUAGUCAAACAAGGUCCACUUUGCAGUACAAAAGUUCUGAAUUUUCCUAUUAGAAUCGAAACAAUUUGGAAUAUGACAGCACACACCAGACAUAGCAGGUCAGUUACAGAAAUCAAUAUCAUCUCAAUAUCGCAAGUAGAAAAGAGGUCGCUUUAGAGAUUCAUAAGUAGAAGUUUUGAGAAUACAAGAUUAAAAAGAUAUUCUGCGGUAUCUCGUUUUGAAUGACGAGUUGAUUGUUUCGAAACAG